UCCUAUGUGUCAGCCGUUAAUUAUAUUCUUUGUUUCUUUUCAUGCUCUGUUCAUGUUUAUUUCAGUUCCGAAUAUUUACGUCGGCAGUGUGACAGUCAGUUGCUAUCAGUUGAAAGGACAAAGAAGAUAGACAGUAGAAGAAAGAAGAAAUAAUUUGUUGAUUUAACCUUAAAUAAAGGAUAGUAAAAAAUAUGUCUUAUUUUUUUGCUUUUCUUCAAACAUAGCAAAAACAAGUGGCGCUGCAUAGGUGGGUGAUCUUGGUCGUCUUGUGCCGGUAUUCCCGAGGCCAGUCGCAAUCCACAUGUGGUGACGGAGUUUUGUCUUCUCCUAAUUACGGUUAUAGAAUUUUAUAAUAUACAAAAUGUUAUGAAUCGACGAAGAUGGAACACAGAGUACAGUGAAAUCGUAUUAUAUUUUGCUGUUUUUCAUAUAUAGUCAAGGGAAGUUGUGUAUCUAGUAAAAAAAAAAUCAAGAAAUGGUAUGUUCUUGAAAAUUUUUUUUGUAUACGAAGUUACGAAAUUAAAGCGAAGAUGGAUAUAUAGGUGACCUCUCCUUUUCAGAAUAAUAUGAUACCUACAAGUGAUAACACACUUGGCAGUUCUCCUGUGUAUUAUGAUUGCAGUUGUUCUUACAACCAUAGAUAUAUCGAUCUUUAUUUCGAUAAAAUAAAAGAAGAUUUGUAAAGUAGAUUUGUUGUUAAUAUUGUUCCGAUUAAUUUAAAUUUGUUUGUGUUUUAUGAUUUUAAAUAUCUUUUAGGAGUAUGUGCAUAUGAAUAAUCUGCGUGCAAAGCAAUCAUAGAAUCAAUGUUUAUUCGUGUAAAAUUUUAUUUAUUCUUUUUUUCUUAUAGUUAGGCUAUAGAUACUUAUAUAUAGAACAAACAAUAGAUACUCGCGAAUUAAUUGCAUUGUUUGCUUCUUAAUUAUUAAAUAAUUAUCGUAUUACUGCAUCAUGGAAGAUAAUCAAAAAUGUAGUACACUUCAUCUAUAAAAUAAUAGUGAUCAUCAUUGCAUUGUCGUUAAGUCAAUAUCAUUAUUACAAAUUCAAUCUAAUGAAUUUUCAACCUACGUUGUAAAAUGAAAUAAAUUUUGGACCUAUUACGGAUCAGUUUAUUAUCGAUCCUAUUACGGAUCGAUUUACAACGUGGGCGGGUUUUGGAGCCUUUGGGGAUCUUCUUAAGUACUGCUUCCACUGCUUCCAAGGAACCAAACUAUCAAUUCAGAUGUUUACUGUCGAGAAUUAAUGAAACAUGAGGAAACAAUCCAAGAAAAACGACCAGAAUUGACAAAUCGCAAUGGGAUCUUGUUCCACUAAGCAAUGCAAGGCGUAACACAUCUUUGGUAAUUUCUGGAAAAUUAUUGGAGUUUGGUUGGAAAGUGAUAUCGUAUCCCCCAUAUGGUCUUGACAUUGCAUCAUCAAAUUAGCAUUUAUUUCGAAGUUCGGAAAACUCUUUGAAAGGUAAAACUUUUACUAAUGGUGAUAACUUUAAAUCGCACUUGGUUCAAUUUUUUGCUAAUAAGGAUCAGAAUUUCUAUGAAAGCGGAAUCACGAAGUUAUUAGAAAAUUGGAAAAGGGUCAUUGUACAAAGUGGAAAAUAUAUAAUAGAUUAAAGUUCAUUAUUUGUAUAAAAGAAAUUGACUUUUAUUUUACACUACAAAACCGAAAUUACUUUCUUGCUGACCCAUUAUAUUUCUUGUUGGUACGAAAGCUAUCGAUGAAAUGUGAUCUCGAACAGCCUUUCGUUUCAUUAGCUAAUAUCUACUUCCUAAAUUUUGUUUAUAUACGAUGUGCUCUUCCUAGCGAAAACCCGAAGACCCAAACAACAACCUCAAUUUUUUCUGUACGAUAUGCUGUUCCUUCCAAUGCUGUUUUUUCCAAAUAUUUUCAUUAUAUGAAUACGUUUCUUUAAAACUGAAUCCGGAUUUUAUAUUUUCACAGCUUGUUUCUAAUGGAAGUGCAAUUUUAAUUAAUUCGGGAAUGUUAUAAAUAGUCGUUUCAGAAUGAACAUAGCCAAUUAUUGGAGUCUACGUUGAAUUAUAUUUUCAGAGCCAUAUACUGUUUUAUGGAAAGGUGGAAGCUUGUUGCUAUAGUAAGGAGGAAAGAUUGCCAUUGCUCGUAAAAUAAUUAAAGACUUCAAUAGGCAAAUGCGAAUCAUAGUUGUCUAUCAACAGGGAGAUGGAUUUCUCGUUAGAUAGCUUCACAUAUCGAACGAACUAUUUGAUGAAUUUAACAAAAUUUUCUUCUUUCAUUCAAUGUGUAUCAUUAAAUUACUCUCUUUCGCUAUUAAAAUUAAUCAGAUAUGUUACGAUAUGGUUAGAGACUUUUACACGCUGAUAUGAAAUACACGUUUUUGCCCACUCAGCUCAAUUUUUUCUAACCGCUAUCUAAGCACAUGUCUCGGUAAUUAUUUUUAGAAUUGCUCGUAACACUACAUGCUUCACAGAGGCUACCAAAGUCCUAUGUCUUAAUUUACUAAGAAUAUAUGGUCUAAUUGUUUUCAUUGAAACAUUGCAGUAAAUUUUGUCAUUUUUAUCGGACUACGUUGAUUUUUAAAGCUAUAGAGCUUUGCGCAUUAGAAUUAUAAAAAGCUCUUUCUAUUCUCAAUCAUCUCUUUGCUCCGCAAUGACUGUAAAUUAAACGUAUCCGCCGUAAUAUUUUCCUUACCACUAAUAUGCCUAAUGUCGAUCGUAAAUUGUCCAAUAUAGUCUACAUAGCGAAAUUGAUAAACACUUUUCAGAUUUCUGACGAAGCCUGAAUAUUAAUAGUUUAUAAUCCGUAAAAAUCACAAAUGUUCACCAAGAAGUAUCUAAAUCGUUUUACUACAAUGUAAGCAUAGCAUAUAAUUCCCUAUCGUAAAUACUGUACUUGUACUGGGCAAUUAUUAAAGUUUUUGUAAAAAAAAACCGAGUGGUUAUCAUUAAUCAUUUAUGUGGUGUUGCAAGAUAGCACUAAUCGGGACAUCCGAGGCACCUAUCGUAAUAGACAAUAACAUAUUAUCUUCUAAAUGCACAAGUAAUACAGUAUUCGCGAGCUUAGUUUUCAUGGCAGCAAAUAUCGUUUCACUCAACUGGAGAAUUUCCUUUCUUUUAGACCCUUCCAGGAGUUUAUAAUUUUUGUAACGCAGCUGCAAGAGGAAUGAAGUUGCGAUAAAAGCUUCUUAUUGCCAAAAAGCGUCUAAAUUUUUUAGUCAUACGCUGUUUUGGAAACUUCAUUAUAGCUUCCAUUUUAUUCCUAAUCUAUUGAAUCCCGUGUUUAUUUAUUGUAUAAUCGAGAAAUUCGUUAUUGUUUUGAAAACGAAUUCGUUUUCACUAAACAAAUUUCAUCGGGAUAAACUACGAUCCCAUAGUCAUUCAUUCUUUCCGAGAAGUGCAGCAAGUGUACUUUUUCAUUACUUGAAGCAAUUAUUAAAUCGUCUAAAUAUAAUUACAUAAAAUUUAAACCUCAUGACGCAUUGUCCGUAAAAUACUAAAAAAUUUGUGCUGCGUUUCAUAAACUGAACGGUAUCCACGGGAAUUCGAGAAGGCCGAAUAAUGUUAUUACUGCGAUUUUCGCGAUAUCAACACCAUACCAUGAUUAUGUGCUUAAAUCUGUGGUGAAAAAUAUGUUUUUACUUGUCAACUAAUAUCUGCAAGAAACCCUUGAUUUGUGGUAUCAAAUAUUUAUUGGACACUAUGCGUAUGUAGCGCAGGAUAAUUACCAUAUGAUCGAAAACUUGCAUUUUUCUUUGGCACGACAUGUAAAGUCGAUGAUUAGAAGCUUUUCGAUAGUCGAAUGAUGCCAUGUUAUUGAAAUUAUGUUUGCCGAUCUGACGACAGGCAUCGUAUAUGGAAAAAUGCAUUCGGAACCGGCUUCGUCUUAAUGUAGUAUCGA